rnacentral:rRNA from 1 species
GACGAACGCUGGCGGCGUGCUUAACACAUGCAAGUCGAACGAAGUGGCGAACGGGUGAGUAACGCGUAAUCAACCUGCCCUUCAGCGGGGGAAAACAGUGGGAAACGACUGCUAAUACCGCAUACUGAAGGAGGGGAUUGCGUCUGAUUAGCUAGUUGGGGGGGUAACGGCCCACCAAGGCGAUGAUCAGUAGCCGGGCUGAGAGGAUGAACGGCCCAAAUGGGAAUGAGACACGGCCCAGACCCCUACGGGAGGCAGCAGUGGGGAAUCUUCCGGAAUGGACGGAAGUCUGACCGAGCAACGCCGCGGGAGGGAUGACGGCCUUCGGGUUGUAAAGCUCUGUUAAUCGGGACGCGGUACCGGAACAGAAAGCCACGGCUAACUACGUGCCAGCAGCCGCGGUAAUAC